GUCUCUGUAGCUCAGCAGGAUAGAGCGUUCGCCUCCUAAGCGGAAGGCCGUGUGUUCGAAUCACAUCGGGGACGCCA
rnacentral:tRNA from 1 species